GGAACGGAGCGAGAGCCGAGCAUCAGAAGCAAGUCAGCUGUUCCUCCAUCAAAGCCUGGAGCCAGGCCAAGUCGGGCAUCCCAGACCAAGCAGGUUCCCUCUGCUCCGUCCCAGCAGGCCUUGGCUCCGUAUCAAGAGACUGUGGUCACAAAGACAAAGCACAGAAGAGACAGAGAAGCUGGACCGCUGCCGCACCUUGUAUCCAUUUAAUGAAGCAAGAAAAACCUGGAUGCAGUUCAACCAUCACCCCCCACACACACACACACACACACACACACACACACGCACACGCUAACCCAAGCUGAGGCAGACCGCCGGCAUAUUGAGCACGUCUUUGGUAUUCAUCCUAACAACUUCCCACCUACUGCACAAACAGAAACCCCAACGCGGCGAACAGCUGCCAGUCUGUCCGAAAACAAUGUGACUGUUGCUGGUUUCAGCCUGGAUGUUGGGUCUGGUGUCUGCAGACGGAGGCGUGAGACGACAACAAGCACAAGAACAACUAAGAUGGAGGUUAACUUCCUCAGUGCCCUUGGGCGCUGGUGAGUGGCCCAUCUGAGCCCUGUCUUCAGAUGGUGUGGAGAGACUGUCACUGAAAGAGCGUAAGGGAGGAGAGCGGCUGUUGCUGGAAGUGUGAGACGGAGAAGAGCUG